CAGUUUUAUUGAAUGUGGGCCCAGAUAUGGUGCUUUCAAGUCUUUAAUGGCUAAGAAAAAGGUCAAGAUUUGAAGUCCAUGAAGCAUUAUGGGGGUUCUAGGACCGGUUUGGAUCCUAGGGAGGAGGCAGGCUACCUUCUCGAUGUCGAGGCCAAGGAAAUAUGGACUUUGAGGGGCUAAUCUACUUUUGGACUAGUUAUGGGCCCA
rnacentral:lncRNA from 1 species